GAUGAACGCUAGCGGCAGGCCUAACACAUGCAAGUCGCGGGGCAGCACGGGUAGCAAUACCUGGUGGCGACCGGCGCACGGGUGCGUAACGCGUAUGCAACCUCGCCCCCAUCAGGGGGAAUAGCCCGCCGAAAGGCGGAUUAAUGCCCCAUAGGCCCAGGGCGCCGCAUGGCGCUAUGGGUAAAGCUCCGGCGGAUGGGGAUGGGCAUGCGUGCCAUUAGCUAGUUGGGGCGGUAACGGCGCACCAAGGCGACGAUGGCUAGGGGGUCUGAGAGGAUGGUCCCCCACACUGGUACUGAGACACGGACCAGACUCCUACGGGAGGCAGCAGUGAGGAAUAUUGGUCAAUGGGCGAGAGCCUGAACCAGCCAAGUAGCGUGAAGGAUGAAGGUCCUAUGGAUUGUAAACUUCUUUUAUAGUAGAAUAAAGUGAUCCACGUGUGGGUUUUUGUAUGUAUACUAUGAAUAAGGAUCGGCUAACUCCGUG
rnacentral:rRNA from 1 species